GUUUUGGUCCUAAACUUGCCAUUGUUUUUUAUCAAAUUUACACAUGCAAGCUUCAACAACCCAGUGAAAUUGCCCGAAACCCCUAAACAGCUAUAAGGAGCAGGCAUCAGGACCCAGAACCAUCUAGCCCAAGACGCCUUGCUAUGCCACACCCACACGGGUACUCAGCAGUGAAUAACAUUAAGAAAUGAGCGAAAGCUCGACUUAGUUAUGAUAAAAAUGGCCGGUAGAUUUCGUGCCAGCCACCGCGGUUAUACGAGAGGCCAAAAACAAUGACCAACGGCGUAAAGCGUGACUAGAGCUCAUCAAACCCUUAAAGUAGUAUUACAUCAAAGUUGUAAAAUACCUUGAUUACUAGACUAUCAUUAAUAAAUAGACUUUAAGCAAAAGAUAUCUUAACUUCACGAAAGCUAAGGAACAAACUAGGAUUAGAUACCCUACUAUGCUUAGCCCUAAACAUAGAUAGUAAACACACAAUACUAUCCGCCAGAGAACUACCAGUGAAAAACUAGAAACUCUAAGGACUUGGCGGUGCUCCAUACCGACCUAGAGGAGCCUGUCCUAUAAUCGAUAAUCCACGCUACACCCCACCACCCCUUGCAACCCAGCUUAUAUACCGCCGUCGUCAGCCUACCUUGUGAAAGAACUAGAGUGGGCAAAAUAGUUAUUAACAAAAACGUCAGGUCAAGGUGUAGCCAAUGGGGUGGAAGAGAUGGGCUACACUUUCUACCUCAGAACACACGAAUAGCACAGUGAAACCUGAGCUUGAAGGCGGAUUUAGUAGUAAGGCAAACAAGAAAAUUUACCUGAAACCCGCUCUGGAGCGCGCACACACCGCCCGUCACCCUC
rnacentral:ncRNA from 1 species